GAGGCAACGAUAGUGCCCUCUACCGGGACUUGGAACUUGGAUAUGCGGAUACGCGCGUACCUAUAGCGCUAACCUAACCUAUAUUCAGUAUCAUUCUCUCUUGUCAUGCUCUUUCGAUGCAAACUUGAAUUUAUAAGAAAAUUGGUCAAAAACGAUCCAUUGUUCCUUUUCACAUAUAUGCAAUUCUAUUUAAUUUUGAUGGUACUGUAAUAAUUUGUUGUACGGAACAGAACCAUGAAACGGUCAGUGUCGAUACUUCUUGCCGAGUGAUAUCGAGUAUAUGACGCGAUCAGACGCCAUCAAAUAUUGAGUCAAAGCACUUGUCCACAUAACCUGAGCAACCUGAAAUACCCGAACGAUAUCAUAUAUUUCCGUGUGAAAUUAUGUUGAAACCAAAAGCUUUGACACAAGUACUCAGUCAAGCUAAUACUGGCGGUGUCGAAAAUACAUUAUUAUUGAAUCGAGAUGGUGGGUUAUUAGCGUACAGUGGUUACGGAGACAAAGAUGCAAGAGUGACUGCCGCUAUUACGAGUAAUAUUUGGUCGGCUUAUGAAAAGAAUGGACGGAACGCGUUCAAGGAAGAUGAAUUACAAUUUGUGUUAAUGGAUUGCGUGGAGGGCAAAGUCGUGAUCACCGAAGUUGCAAACCUGUUGUUAUGUCUAUACGCCAAAGAAAAUGUUGGGUUCGGCUUGUUGAGAGAGAAAGCUCAAGCCUUGGCGAGAUAUCUCGAUCAACCGUUAAAAACGAUAGCUAACAUGCCUUAGAAUUCGUGUUUAGAUAUAUAAAAUAAUUAAAGUGAUCAGAUGGAACUUGUUUUUGAUACGUGCGAUAUUGCAAAUAUUUAUUAAACAAUUAUUUCUAUAAUACCGUGUAUAGUAAUAUCGAUUCAAUUGGGAUUUUACAAACUUUCACCAAUGUAAUUCGGACAAUAUAUACUACGGAAAUCAUUGCAUCGGAGUUUAUUUAUCAUUUCGUACGUCUUCGUUCGGAAGCGAAACGCAAGGAAAUAAAUAGAGACCAGCGUGUCAAAUAAUUCGAUCUCGUGAACCUCGUUACAUACGUUAUAAAAGGUACUGAAACGAGCCUCAUCGCUUUCAUUGGAACUGAUCGUCAUACGAUUUGAAAUUCAUUACGCUAUUUUAAGAUAUAUUCUAUAUAGGUGAAUAUGCGUAGCUAUGCGACGCGAUUCUAUAGUCUCGUUAUCGUUACUUAUUUUCUCGUACUACUACUACUACUACUACUACUACGACGUCCGAACGUACGUCAGUUAUGAUUACAAAUCUUUUCAUGGAGAUAUAGAGCGUGAAGUUUUUCGACACGAGUAGUCUUCGGACGUACAGAACUGAACAGAAUAAUAUUGCAUGGAACUAAAUUCAUUCGUGGCGCGUAUGAUUAAUAUUUAAAGUAAUUAUCAAACGUGUACAUGGUUUACAAAUGGAAUUGCUUUUAUUUCAGAUUCUGCAUUUGCCUGCGAAUAAAUUCUUAUUUGCGUCA